AUACGUAGGUGGCGAGCGUUGUCCGGAAUUACUGGGCGUAAAGGAUGCGUAGGUGGAUAUUUAAGUGGGAUGUGAAAUCCCCGGGCUCAACCCGGGAACUGCAUUCCAAACUGGAUAUCUAGAGUGCAGGAGAGGAAAGCGGAAUUCCUAGUGUAGCGGUGAAAUGCGUAGAUAUUAGGAGGAACACCAGUGGCGAAGGCGGCUUGCUGGACUGUAACUGACACUGAGGCAUGAAAGCGUGGGUAGCAAACAGGAUGAGAUACCCUGGUAGUCCACGCAGUAAACGAUGAUAACUAACCGCUGGUGCGCAAGUAUCAGUGGCCAAGCGAAAGCGAUAAGUUAUCCACCUGGGGAGUACGACCGCAAGGUUGAAACUCAAAUGAAUUGACGGGG
rnacentral:rRNA from 1 species